rnacentral:rRNA from 1 species
GUGAGGAAUAUUGGUCAAUGGGCGGAAGCCUGAACCAGCCAUCCCGCGUGAAGGAAGGCGGCCCUAUGGGUUGUAAACUUCUUUAGUACAUGAAGAACAGGAUCUACGCGUAGGUUUAUGACGGUAAUGUACAAAAAAGCAUCGGCUAACUCCGUGCCAGCAGCCGCGGUAAUACGGAGGAUGCGAGCGUUAUCCGGAUUCAUUGGGUUUAAAGGGUACGUAGGUGGCCCUGUAAGUCAGUGGUGAAAAUCUGCUGCUUAACGGUAGGGGUGCCAAUGAUACUGCGGGGCUUGAGUACAGUUGAGGUAGGUGGAAUGUGUAGUGUAGCGGUGAAAUGCAUAGAUAUUACACAGAACUCCGAUUGCGAAGGCAUCUUACUAAGCUACAACUGACACUGAAGCACGAAAGCGUGGGGAUCAAACAGGAUUAGAAACCCGUGUAGUCC